AUGAACGCUAGCGACAGGCUUAACACAUGCAAGUCGAGGGGUAACAGGGUAGCAAUACCGCUGACGACCGGCGCACGGGUGAGUAACGCGUAUGCAACCUGCCUAUAACUGGGGAAUAGCUCCCUGAAAGGGGAAUUAACACCGCAUAACACUAUUGAUUCGCAUGGAUUGGUAGUUAAAUGUAGCGAUACAGGUUAUAGAUGGGCAUGCGUGACAUUAGCUAGUUGGUGAGGUAACGGCUCACCAAGGCUACGAUGUCUAGGGGUUCUGAGAGGAAGGUCCCCCCACACUGGUACUGAGACACGGACCAGACUCCUACGGGAGGCAGCAGUGAGGAAUAUUGGUCAAUGGGCGCAAGCCUGAACCAGCCAUGUCGCGUGCAGGAAGAACCUGCCCUAUGGGUUGUAAACUGCUUUUAUAGUAGAAGAAACACAUCUACGCGUAGAUGUCUGCCAGUAUACUAUGAAUAAGCAUCGGCUAACUCCGUGCCAGCCGCGGC
rnacentral:rRNA from 1 species